AUGGUCGUAUUCAAACUAAACCAGGAAACAGGACAUGGUCGUAUUCAAACUAAACCAGAUACAGGAAACAGGAAACAGGACAUGGUCGUAUUCAAACUAAACCAGAUACAGGAAACAGGAAGCAGGACAUGGUCGUAUUCAAACUAAACCAGGAAACAGGAAACAGGACAUGGUCGUAUUCAUUAGGCACCAAACAGUGAAGGACAACCUGAACUUAUCCAGAAUGAAACACUCGAUUUCAUUACAAAGCAUUUUCUGUUGCAAAAACACUUUGCUACGGUUUCCUAGUGUGCACAACUGAAUAUACCACGGGACAGGGUCAUAUUCAUUAGGAAUCAAACAGAAUGAAUACACCACAGAACAGGGUCAUAUUCAUUAGGAAUCAAACAGAAUGAAUACACCACAGAACAGGUGAUUCAUUAGGAAUCAAACAGAAUGAAUACACCACAGAACAGGUGAUUCAUUAGGAAUCAAACAGAAUGAAUACACCACAGAACAGGGUCGUAUUCAUUAGGAAUCAAACAGAAUGAAUACACCACAGAACAGGUGAUUCAAUAGGAAUCAAACAGAAUGAACAGGGUCGUAUUCAUUAGGAAUCAAACAGGCUGAAACGAGGAGAGACUACCUGAACAUGUCUAAUAAGAAAACGCUCGUGUUCCGUUUGUGUAAAGCGUUUUUUCCCCCCGCUAAGGUGUGCUACUAAUGAACACGACCCGGGUGUGUGAAGAUGUGAAGUGGGAGGGACAUUAGACUGCACUACUUCCAUUAAAACAGCAGAGGGCGCCACAACAGUUCUACCAUUGGUUGGGGAAAAGGGCUGUCCAGCGUACGUAGUACACCUAUCAGUAUACACAGUAAUAUAGCGAUCAGGGUGGAGCUCCAUUUCAAUUCACUAAGUAAACCGAAUUCCAAAUGUUCUUUAUUGAAAGGCAUUGAUGACAGUUGGAACUGGAAUGUCAGUGAACAUUCUCAAUUGACUGGAAUUUAAAAAGUGAUUUUGACCCCCGACCCCUGGUAACCACUAACAAGAUAGAAAAGUGAUUGACCCCCAAUCCUGGUAACCUCUAACAUGAUAGAAAAGCAAUUUAUUUCUUUAACACAUUAAUUAAAACAUUAAUUUGCUACUGGAUCCAGGUAAUGUGUUUUCUGCGUCACCAUGUCUAGUCGUCCCCAUCUGAACUGUCAUACGUUGCUCUGUAUAAAAAGGUGUAUUGGAAUCAAGGCUGCAGGUGACCUUGAAGAAGUGGUUUCUCAUUCACAACGGAGAAAAGGAUCUAUUUGAAGUUCUAGUCAAAUCAGCUGUAACGAUACAAAGGUCGUCACUUAUUGAAAAAAAAAAAAAAAAACUUAUUGAAAAAAACUGAAGGCAAGACGUAGUGAAAAGAUGUAUUUAACAAACCAAAUGAAAAGGUCUCUUUCCUGUCCCUGUCCACAUAGAAGACAACACAUCAACAGAAAGAACUAAGCACAACAUUUUAAAUAUAUAUUAAAUAGAAAAGCAGAUCAAGAUGCACGUUUAAAAAAAAAACAUCCAUUCUUCUGCUGUGGGAAAAAAAAGGACAUUAUUAUAUUUUGUAUUUACACUACCUACAACCAGAUGAACUACUCCCCAAAUGGAGCCCUGUUCCCUAUAUAGUGCACUACUUUUAACCAGAGCUCUGAUGGGCAAAACCCUCUGUGGUUACUGUAGUAGUGCACUACUUUCAACCAGAGCUCUGAUUGGCUAAACCCUCUGUGGUUACUGUAGUAGUGCACUACUUUCAACCAGAGCCCUGAUUGGCUAAACCCUCUGUGGUUACUGUAGUAGUGCACUACUUUCAACCAGAGCUCUGAUUGGCUAAACCCUCUGUGGUUACUGUAGUAGUGCACUACUUUCAACCAGAGCUCUGAUUGGCUAAACCCUCUGUGGUUACUGUAGUAGUGCACUACUUUCAACCAGAGCUCUGAUUGGCUAAACCAUCUGUGGUUACUGUAGUAGUGCACUACUUUCAACCAGAGCUCUGAUUGGCUAAACCCUCUGUGGUUACUGUAGUAGUGCACUACUUUCAACCAGAGCUCUGAUUGGCUAAACCCUCUGUGGUUACUGUAGUAGUGCACUACUUUCAACCAGAGCUCUGAUUGGCUAAACCCUCUGUGGUUACUGUAGUAGUGCACUACGUAGGGAAUAGGGUGUCAUUUGGGACAAACUCACACUGACUCUUAAGACACAAACGUAUACCUGCGUGCACAUCCCCGUUUUGGAUGAAGGCUGUCGGACACAAUAAAAACAUUUAAAAGACCUCCUGAUCAAAUUAUAUUUUCAGUUGAACAAUAGUGUCUCAAUCCCAAAUGGCACCCUAUUCCCUAUAUAAGCGCAUUACUUGUUGACCAGAGCUCUACAUUGGUUUGUGAUCAAAACUAGUGGACUAAUUCAGGAACUGGGUGUCAUUUGGGAUUCAGACAGUUUCUACGAGACCCACUCUGUUUCCAUUUCAUCAACAUCAACAGGGGAAGGUUCCCAGACCCUGAUUAACGGUUCCUAUUUUCACAGCGCAAAAAAAAAAAAAACAUUGUGGAAAAUUUAAAAAAAAUGACAGUAAACCUCAUUAUAAUCUCACAGUGAGAUUUAAUUUGAAAACUUUUCUUCAACAAUACGCGUUAUAAAAGAGGCGAUUGCCUCACCAGAGUUCAGUAAACGGAGCGAUGCCUUAACAGACGUCUCUUUAUAAACACACAUCGUUGAAGAAAUGUGUUAAAUGAAAUCCAACUAACCAGAUUUUAACCGUACAUUUUUGCACAUUGCUUUUGCACUAUAAAAAUGUGGCUCUAAUGCGGUUAUUGAUGAGAAUACAUCUCAAUUUAGCAUCUGUGUCCAGACUGAGUCGUUUCUUCCUAAAAAUCAGACUGGUCAGUUAACUGGAUCUGUGUCCAGAGUGAGUUGUUCCUUCUAAAAUCAGACUGGAUAGUUAACCGGAUCCGUGUCCAGAGUGAGUCGUUUCUUCCUAAAAAUCAGACUGGUCAGUUAACUGGAUCUGUGUCCAGAGUGAGUCGUUUCUUCCUAAAAUCAGACUGGUCAGUUAACCGGUGCCAUCAACACUACAGUAUUACCUCAAUACACCCUCCUGUUUAAAGAUGUUAUCUAGACACCUAGUAGCGUUGCACAAACUCCGUAAACCUUCU
rnacentral:lncRNA from 1 species